GCUUGCCUGUAGGGGUGUCCUCCGCGGAGGACUGAGAUUGCGGUGCGCUCGACCGCUCGACCCUUCGAACCUGAACGGAUCAUGCCGACGAAGGAAACAGCAGGCGCCGCGGA
rfam:Lacunisphaera limnophila strain IG16b chromosome, complete genome.